ensembl:lncRNA
CUUAUCCUCUGGUAUUGGUCCUUGAUAUCAGCGUCGGGACCACGACGACUUUCCAGUGACUGAGGGGAGAGGCUGGAGCCUCAGGUCUGUAUGGAGCCCUUUGGGGCAUCUCUGUUGGCUCACUGGUAAAGAAUCUCCUGCCAAUGAAAGAAACGCAGAUUUGACCCCUGGAUCGGGAAGAUGCCCUAGAGAAGGAAAUGGCAACCCGCUCCAGUAUUCUUGCCUGGGUAAUCCCAUGGACAAAGGAGCCUGGCGGGCUUAAGUCCAUCGGAUCACAGAAGAAUCGGACAUGACUGAGCAACUAAAGAACAACAAUGGAGCUCUUUGGGGGCAAGGGGUGUUAACAUUUCUGCACAUUAAGGGCAACCUAUGAUCCAGGUUGGACAAUCUCCAGGCUACUAAGUACCCAGGACAUGUUACAGGAUGAUCUAAGGGUCUGCACUGUGACAAGGAGCAAUUUGAUGUCUACUCAUCACAGAAGGACCUCAGCUUCCCGAUCAGGGAUUGAACACACAUCCCCUGCAUUGGACCUUAUGGGGCAGCAGCUUCUUAGUGCCACGUCCUCCUCUCACCACAGGUCCUAUCCUCGCUGUUACCUUCUGAAGCUGUGGUUUUGACGUCAGAGGUACUGGCUGCACCGCUGAGUGGCCGUGGGCUCUUAUCCUACUCCUUUUGCUUUGUCACUUAUUUGUAAGGAUUUUUUUCUCGGCCUGUGUAG